rnacentral:rRNA from 1 species
AUUGAACGCUGGCGGAAUGCUUUACACAUGCAAGUCGAACGGCAGCACGGACUUCGGUCUGGUGGCGAGUGGCGAACGGGUGAGUAAUGUAUCGGAACGUGCCCAGUCGUGGGGGAUAACGUAGUGAAAAUUACGCUAAUACCGCAUACGAUCUAUGGGUGAAAGGGGGGGAUCGCAAGAGCUCGCGCGAUUGGAGCGGCCGAUAUCAGAUUAGGUAGUUGGUGGGGUAAAGGCCCACCAAGCCAACGAACUGUAGCUGGUCUGAGAGGACGACCAGCCACACUGGAACUGAGACACGGUCCAGACUCCUACGGGAGGCAGCAGUGGGGAAUUUUGGACAAUGGGCGAAAGCCUGAUCCAGCCAUUCCGCGUGCAGGAUGAAGGCCCUCGGGUUGUAAACUGCUUUUGUACAGAACGAAAAGGUUUCUACUAAUACUAGGAGCUCAUGACGGUACUGUAAGAAUAAGCACCGGCUAACUACGUGCCAGCCGCCGCAGUAA